AUACGGAGGGUGCAAGCGUUAUUCGGAAUCACUGGGCGUAAAGGGUGCGUAGGCGGUUUGGUAAGUCUGAUGUGAAAUCCUAUGGCUCAACCAUAGAACUGCAUUGGAAACUGCUAAACUAGAAUACUGAAGGGGCAGAUGGAAUUAGUGGUGUAGGGGUAAAAUCCGUAGAUAUCACUAGGAAUACCGAAAGCGAAAGCGAUCUGCUGGGAAGUUAUUGACGCUGAGGCACGAAAGCGUGGGGAGCAAACGGGAUUAGAAACCCCAGUAGUCC
rnacentral:rRNA from 1 species